rnacentral:lncRNA from 1 species
AUGUCGUAAAAUAGACAGACAUAUCUCUUAACAUGUCAUUACUAAGCUUUUCAAUUCUUAGAACUUUAUCAAGUUCUAGCUGGACAUGUCUAUUUAGAACCUAUAAAUUCAGCCCCAAAUCUCUAUCAUCUGUUUAAGGAAACUGAACCAAGAAAGCCACUGUAUUACAGUAUUAAUGGUUUACAGCUUUAGGUGAAAAUUUCUGAUUCAGAUCUCAAGUCUGAAACUCACAUAUUUACUGGUAAAGCCCUCGGCAGGAGAAAUAUUCUGAUUGUGUCCUUAAAGCCAGC